rnacentral:tRNA from 4 species
GGGCUCGUGGUCUAGGGGUUAUGAUGUCGCCUUCACACGGCGAAGAUCGCAGGUUCAAAUCCUGCCGAGCCCACCA